AAUAAAUGCUCGUUGAACGAAACAGAGGAUGAGGGUUUGGUGAAAAGAUCUGCUAGUUGAUGUCGUGACGGCACAUGCAUGGUGGUGAUAAAGCCUUUGUUCAACUUAUCACGAAUGACAUGACAAUCAAUCUCCAGAAGUUUUGUUCUUUCAUGGAAGAUCGGGUUAACUGCUAUAUGCUAUGCUACUUUGUUAUCGUAAUAUAGAGCAAUCGAGAGAGAUAACUUCAAUCCAAAAUCACCAAUGAGGUAGCUCGUCCAUUGUAAUUCACAAAUGGUCAUGGCCAUUUUUCUAUACUCUACUUUAGCCGAAGAGGGGCUUACAAUGGAUUGCUUUUUUGCUUUCCAAGAUAUUAGUGAGGGUCUUGAGAAGAUAAAAAAUCUUGUUGUCGAUUUUUUUAUCACUGGGCAAGGUGCCCAAUCUGUGUCACAGAAAGCUCAAAGUUUCAAAUCAUUUACGAAGGGGAAGAAUAAACUUUUGGUAAGACGACCCUUCAAAUAUUUCACGACAUGGAACUCAGUGUGGGCACCUUGGAGUUUCCAUGAACUGGCUUAGUUUCUGUGUCGCAUGAGAGAUGUCUGGUCUCGUAAGUCCCAGGGUGUUGGUUCUGCAAGAACUUGGCUAUUCCCUACUGGAUCAUGUUUGCCCAAUCAACUCCAGUUGGUUCAAUCUUGUAUACUGCCUUGCUCUUAAUUUCAAUAUUUUCUCAUAUACAUUUGCUAUUGUGUUCCCUUUGCCUUUGCCUUUUUUCUACUUGAAUUCUAUGAAUCAUUCUGGAUAACCAUGUAACUUGAAGCAUGUUUCUCUGGUGUGUCCAUUUGCAUUACAAUAGUCACAGGUUCUAUUUUCCUUUUUGCCAAACCCCUUCUUUUUACCUUGUAAUUUCUGAAAUUGCCCUUUAACAUUCAUGGCAGAAUUAAAUCCUUUUGAUGCAUCAGUGUGAAUUUCUCUUUGAGUUUCAACCCUUGACACCAUUGAGUAUGCAUUGUUUAUACUAGACAAUGGAUCUAUCAAAAGAACUUGAUUCCUGACAUGAUCAUAAGUUUCAUUUAAUCCCAUUAAAAACUGCAUGAGUUUAUCUUCAUUAUGCAUGUCAUCCAUUGAUUUUGAUGCUCCACACUUACACACUGGUAAAGGUUUAUGACAUGCUAAUUCAUUCUAUAAUUUUUUAAGUUUAGUAAAAUACACAACAGCUAAUGCAUUGCCCUGAGUUAGAAUACUUAUCUUUCUUUUUAGCUGAUAGAGGAGUGGUCCAUUGCUCUGACCAAAUCUCCCUUUAAUUUCUUCCCACAAAUCUUUUGAAGAAGAAGUAUAAAUGAAAGCAUCCACAAGUUCCUUUAAGAGAGAACACAAGAUCAAAGAAGUCACCAUGCUGUCAACCUUCUUCCAUUUGUCAAAAGUAGCAGAUCCAACAGUAGGCAUCUCACAGCUUCCUUCAAUAAAGCCAAGUUUAUCCUUGGCUUGUGAGGCUAUUAUCAUGGAUCUACUCCAUGAUAGAUAAUUUUUCCCAGUCAAUGGUACUAUGUACAAGUACCAUACCAGGGUGGUCAGAAUUAUGCAGAUAAAGAGUAUCUUUCCCUCUUCUAGUAGCUUGACUGUUACUACCGAUAUUCAAUACUUCAGACAUUUCUUAGAAGCUUGAGCGAGGAAACUAAAAAAAUUGGAAAUUAGAUCUUAUAAGGUGAGUCCCUAUAUCAGAUUUGAUCAGAAAGAAGAAUAAUCAGUAACACAGGUUGUGCUCUGAUACCAUGAAGAAAUUCUUUAGAUAAAUAUAAACGAGUAGGAAAAGUUGUGUAUCGUAUUGAAUAAUUGAUGAGUUUAUAUAUAGCUUAGAUGAAUGAUCUAGAAAAGAAUCAAAAGUCUA